rnacentral:rRNA from 1 species
UAACCAGGAUUCCCCUAGUAACGGCGAGUGAAGAGGGAAUAGCCCAGCACCGAAGCCUGCGGUAGGUUUACUGCUAGGCAAUGUGGUGUUUGGGUCGACUCGCGGGAUUGCCACUCCACUCGAAGUCCAGCACUGAGUAUGGUUCCCUGGAUUUGGCCCAGAGAGGGUGAAAGGCCCGUGCGAGUGGAGGUUCAGACAUGUGAGGCAAUUCACCAGGUCGACCUUCGAGUCGGGUUGUUUGGGAAUGCAGCCCAAAGUGGGUGGUAAACUCCAUCCAAGGCUAAAUACAAGCACGAGUCCGAUAGCGAACAAGUACCGUGAGGGAAAGUUGAAAAGUACUUUGAAGAGAGAGUAAACAGUACGUGAAACCGCAUAGAGGUAAACGGGUGGCGUCAAGCUGCAAGCCUAGAGGAUUCAGUUGAUCGGUGUGUAUGCGCGCCUGGCGUGUCUGUCGGACGGACAGUCCACUGCGAAAUGGUGGGCCUGCCUUUCUUCUUGGGGGGCAGGAUCGGUGUUCCGGGUGGUUGCCGGUGCCGGCUGUUUUGUCUGUCUGCGCAGUGUGGAUGGACCGGUCAAUGCACUUCCUCUAUUUGGUGAGCACCACGACUGGUGGAACUGCCAGUCUGCCAUAGUCAAGUCGGAUUUGGUCGGUGGCUCUCCUCGUCGUCUUGGUGUGGGGGGGUCAUCGGCUGAGUUUCGAUCACAGGCGAACUCAGUGAGCGGCGCGUGUAGGCAUUCGCUUGCACACGUGUUAUCGAGCACUGGUCGUCAACGGGUCUGCCUGUCGGUUGUUGUGUACAGUCGCCGGCGGGUGUCCUGGUGGGCUAUGGUGGUAUGAAUAACUGUGCAGGGCACCAGAGUUGUCGGUCUCUAGUUUCCGUCUCGUGCGCACACUGUAUGUGGGCGUGGGGUGUUGCUGUAGGCUGCCAAUUGCUGGGUCUGAUCGUCGUGUUGCCUGCGCAAAGUGGGCCCGGCGGUGGUCUGGUGUUGGGUGGUCUGCAUUUGUGUGUGAUG